GAUGAAGAACGCAGCGAAAUGCGAUAAGUAGUGUGAAUUGCAGAAUUCAGUGAAUCAUCGAAUCUUUGAACGCACAUUGCGCCCGCCAGUAUUCUGGCGGGCAUGCCUGUUCGAGCGUCAUUUCAACCAUCAAGCCACCGGCUUGUGUUGGGGACCUGCGGCUGCCGCAGGCCCUGAAAACCAGUGGCGGGCUCGCUAGUCACUCCGAGCGUAGUAAUACAUCUCGCUCAGGGCGUGCUGCGGGUUCCGGCCGUUAAAAAGCCUUAUUUACCCAAGGUUGACCUCGGAUCAGGUAGGAAGACCCGCUGAACUUAAGCAUAUCAAUAAGCGGAGGA
rnacentral:misc_RNA from 1 species